rnacentral:rRNA from 1 species
GGACAAUGGGGGGAACCCUGAUCCAGCCAUGCCGCGUGUGUGAAGAAGGCCUUUUGGUUGUAAAGCACUUUAAGCGAGGAGGAGGCUUACCUAGUUAAUACCUGGGAUAAGUGGACGUUACUCGCAGAAUAAGCACCGGCUAACUCUGUGCCAGCAGCCGCGGUAAUACAGAGGGUGCGAGCGUUAAUCGGAUUUACUGGGCGUAAAGCGUGCGUAGGCGGCUUUUUAAGUCGGAUGUGAAAUCCCCGAGCUUAACUUGGGAAUUGCAUUCGAUACUGGGAAGCUAGAGUAUGGGAGAGGAUGGUAGAAUUCCAGGUGUAGCGGUGAAAUGCGUAGAGAUCUGGAGGAAUACCGAUGGCGAAGGCAGCCAUCUGGCCUAAUACUGACGCUGAGGUACGAAAGCAUGGGGAGCAAACAGGAUUAGAUACCCUGGUAGUCCAUGCCGUAAACGAUGUCUACUAGCCGUUGGGGCCUUUGAGGCUUUAGUGGCGCAGCUAACGCGAUAAGUAGACCGCCUGGGGAGUA